rnacentral:rRNA from 1 species
CCCCCACACUGGCACUGAGACACGGGCCAGACUUCUACGGAAGGCAGCAGUGAGGAAUAUUGCGCAAUGGGCGAAAGCCAGACGCAGCAACGCCGCGUGGGUUGAUGAAGGCCUUCGGGUCGUAAAACCCUUUUGUGGGGGAAGAGUAAGGACGGUACCCCAAGAAUAAGCGUCGGCUAACUACGUGCCAGCAGCCGCGGUAAAACGUAGGACGCGAGCGUUAUCCGGAUUUACUGGGCGUAAAGAGCGUUGAGGCGGUUCCGUAAGUUGGACGUGAAAGCUCCCGGCUCAACUGGGAGAGGCCGUUCAAUACUGCGGGACUUGAGGACAGCAGAGGGGGGUGGAAUUCCCGGUGUAGUGGUGAAAUGCGUAGAUAUCGGGAGGAACACCAGUGGCGAAGGCGGCCCCCUGGGCUGAUCCUGACGCUGGAGGCGAAAGCUAGGGGAGCGAACGGGAUUAGAAACCCCGGUAGUCCUAGCCGUAAACGAUGGAUACUAGGUGUGGGAGGCGAAAAAACCUUCCGUGCCGUAGCUAACGCGCUAAGUAUCCCGCCUGGGGACUACGGCCGCAAGGCUAAAACUCAAAGGAAUUGACGGGAGCCCGCACAAGCAGCGGAGCGUGUGGUUUAAUUCGAUGCUACGCGAAGAACCUUACCAGGGUUUGACAUGCAAGUAGUAGUGAAGCGAAAGCGGAACGACCCUUCGGGGAGCUUGCACAGGUGCUGCAUGGCUGUCGUCAGCUCGUGCCGUGAGGUGUUAGGUUAAGUCCUGUAACGAGCGCAACCCCUACUGUCAGUUACAUGUGUCUGGCGGGACUGCCCGGCUCAACCGGGAGGAAGGUGGGGAUGACGUCAAGUCAGCAUGGCCUUUAUGUCCUGGGCUACACACACGCUACAAUGGCCGGUACAAUGGGUAGCCAAGCCGCGAGGCGGAGCCAAUCCUCCAAAGCCGGUCUCAGUUCGAAUUGUAGGCUGCAACUCGCCUACAUGAAGCUGGAGUUGCUAGUAACCGCAGGUCAGCCACACUGCGGUGAAUACGUUCCCGGGCUUUGUACACACCGCCCGUCACGUCAUGGGAGUCGGCAACACCUGAAGCCGGUGGGCCAACCGAAAGGAGGCAGCCGUCGAAGGUGGGGCUGGUGACUGGGACGAAG